rnacentral:rRNA from 1 species
AACGAACGCUGGCGGCAUGCCUAACACAUGCAAGUCGAACGAGACCUUCGGGUCUAGUGGCGCACGGGUGCGUAACGCGUGGGAACCUGCCCUUAGGUUCGGAAUAACUCCCCGAAAGGGGUGCUAAUACCGGAUAAUGUCUUCGGACCAAAGAUUUAUCGCCUUUGGAUGGGCCCGCGUUGGAUUAGCUAGUUGGUAGGGUAAAAGCCUCCCAAGGCGACGAUCCAUAACUGGUCUGAGAGGAUGAUCAGCCACACUGGGACUGAGACACGGCCCAGACUCCUACGGGAGGCAGCAGUGGGGAAUAUUGGACAGUGGGCGAAAGCCUGAUCCAGCAAUGCCGCGUGAGUGAUGAAGGCCUUAGGGUUGUAAAGCUCUUUUACCCGGGAUGAUAAUGACAGUACCGGGAGAAUAAGCUCCGGCUAACUCCGUG